rnacentral:rRNA from 1 species
AACGAACGCUGGCGGCAUGCCUAACACAUGCAAGUCGAACGAGACCUUCGGGUCUAGUGGCGCACGGGUGCGUAACGCGUGGGAAUCUGCCCUUGGGUUCGGAAUAACAGUUGGAAACGACUGCUAAUACCGGAUGAUGACGUAAGUCCAAAGAUUUAUCGCCCAAGGAUGAGCCCGCGUAGGAUUAGCUAGUUGGUGAGGUAAAGGCUCACCAAGGCGACGAUCCUUAGCUGGUCUGAGAGGAUGAUCAGCCGCACUGGGACUGAGACACGGCCCAGACUCCUACGGGAGGCAGCAGUGGGGAAUAUUGGACAAUGGGCGAAAGCCUGAUCCAGCAAUGCCGCGUGAGUGAUGAAGGCCUUAGGGUUGUAAAGCUCUUUUACCCGGGAUGAUAAUGACAGUACCGGGAGAAUAAGCUCCGGCUAACUCCGUG